CUACGGGGGGCAGCAGUAGGGAAUUUUGCGCAAUGGGGGAAACCCUGACGCAGCAAUACCGCGUGAGCGAUGAAGCUCUUUGGAGUGUAAAGCUCUGUCAGCAGGGAAGAAUUUUGACUGUACCUGCAGAGGAAGCAUCGGCUAACUACGUGCCAGCAGCCGCGGUAAGACGUAGGAUGCAAGCGUUGUCCGGAAUUAUUGGGCGUAAAGAGUUCGUAGGCGGCUUGUUAAGUCUGGUGUUAAAGCCCGGGGCUCAACCCCGGAUCAGCACUGGAUACUGGCAGGCUAGAGUACAGUAGAGGCAAGGGGAAUUCCUAGUGUAGCGGUGAUAUGCGUAGAUAUUAGGAGGAACACCAGUGGCGUAAGCGCCUUGCUGGGCUGUAACUGACGCUGAGGAACGAAAGCCAGGGUAGCAAAUGGGAUUAGAUACCCCGGUAGUC
rnacentral:rRNA from 1 species